rnacentral:rRNA from 1 species
GACAGAGGUCUCGAGCGUUAGGCGGAAUCACUGGGCUUAAAGCGUGUGUAGGUGGAUGGGUAAGCACCUUGUGAAAUCCCACGGCUCAACCGUGGAACUGCUUGGUAUACUGCCUGUCUUGAGGCACUCAGGGGCGAGCGGAACAAAUGGUGGAGCGGUGAAAUGCGUAGAUAUCAUUUGGAACGCCAAUGGUGAAGACAGCUCGCUGGGGGUGUACUGACACUGAGACACGAAAGCCAGGGGAGCAAACGGG